rnacentral:rRNA from 1 species
GAAUUUUGCGCAAUGGGCGAAAGCCUGACGGAGCAAUACCUCGUGAGGGAAGACGGCCUAUGGGUUGUAAACCUCUUUUUUCAGGGAGGAAUCAAUGACGUGUACCUGAAGAAUAAGCAUCGGCUAACUCCGUGCCAGCAGCCGCGGUAAGACGGAGGAUGCAAGUGUUAUCCGGAAUCACUGGGCGUAAAGCGUCUGUAGGUGGUUGAACAAGUCAACUGUUAAAUCUUGAGGCUCAACUUCAAAAUCGCAGUCGAAACUGUUUGACUAGAGUAUAGUAGGGGUAAAGGGAAUUUCCAGUGGAGCGGUGAAAUGCGUAGAUAUUGGAAAGAACACCGAUGGCGAAGGCACUUUACUGGGCUAUUACUGACACUCAGAGACGAAAGCUAGGGUAGCAAAUGGGAUUAGAUACCCCAGUAGUCCUAGCCGUAAACAAUGGAUACUAGAUGUUGAACAGAUCGACCUGUGCAGUAUCAAAGCUAACGCGUUAAGUAUCCCGCCUGGGAAGUAUGCUCGCAAGAGUGAAACUCAAAGGAAUUGAC